GUCGCCGUCGCGCUCACCAUUCAUCGGCGCGGCUAUGUAAUAAGAGAUGCCGGAACCCGCUUCCAUCAUUGUGCUCCUGCUCUCCGCAGAGGAGAUGCCGGCCCUCUUCCUCCUCCUCCUGCUCCCUUCCUACUCAACUUCUCUCGGUCGCAUCCAUUGAGCGGCGAUCUGCUGUUACAUUGGCGGAGGGUUGGUUUACUCGGAGGUGUAGUUCUUCGCACCGGGCGUCAAGGUCGAUGGUGCUUCAUUGGGGGAUCUAGAAUCCAGUACAGCCCCAAGAGAACAACAUCUCGGCCGUCUGCUGGUUGUAAAACCCUAGCCCUCUUUUGUUGUUAGUUGGUAAUUAGGGCAUCGACGAUUUUAGUCUUGUCCACACGAGCUAGUGUUGUUUGCCUAAAAAUAUAUUUUUUAAGGGAAAUUAUCAAUUUUUUCCUUAAAAAUCACUCAUUUGUUAUUACUCUUCAAAGUUAUCAUCAAAAUCGCUCCCUUGUUAGGGAAGAAUGGCAUUUCGACAACAAAAUAGUGAUAUUGGAGAGAAUUUUUACCUUGAGGAAACCUUAGGGUAUUUUGAGAAAAUGCUAAACCUUGGGGAUAUUUUGGAAAUUGCCCUAUUUUAAAUAUUCUUUUGGUUCAUUAAUCAACUGCUUACAUUAAUUUGAUUUGAGUUGUUAUGUUAUAGAGUUAGGCAAAGUUUUAACUUUUGGUUCGUUAAUUAGCUCCAUUCAGAUUUCUUGGUAAAAUUGCAAAAACAAAUCAUUUAGCCUCCCAUAUUUUUAUUAUUUUUUGAAAUACCCCAAUCGUUUCAGGGUUGCCAUAUUCCCCCCAUUUCGUUUCAAUUUUUAUGUUAGAAUGCUCCUCCACCAUCAACACUAAUGAUGUUGCACCAUGUGAAGUACGUGUGAUCAUCCCAAUGCCACCCAUGGAAUCCUAUUGUUUGGACAAUCAUGUGCAUUGUUCGCAACGCAAAUUCACCCCUCGUAGAUAGCGGCAGGGGCAUUUUGACAUGAAAAUUUAAAAUAGAUGGUGUAAAAUGACAACUCUUAAAUUAUAGAGAGCGUUUCAAAAAAGAAAGGGGGAGAGGGGCAAAUAGCAAAGCUGAAUUUUCUCAGUUAAAAAUUAUUCUUUCUCCGCCAAGUUGGAUUAAAUGCAUGUCAUAGAUUUUAGCUCAACUUCCUAUCAGAAACUGAAUAAUUAAUUCCUCAUACUCAAGAAAAACAUUGUAUAUUUCCUUACACUAGGGCAUACAAGUACACAGAUUGCUAACAGUGCCUUCACUUGGGGCACAGCUUCUGUUCUUUCUUUUUUCACUCUUAUGGUUGUGGCUCCUACUUCUGCAUUUGCAAGUCAAUUUCACAGUCUUAAGGAAUAUAAUUGCAUAGAGCAAGAGCAUGCAAGAAAAGUGCAUGUUUAAUAGUAUUUGAAUAUUUGAUGCUCUUGUUCAUUGUAUUGGAUUUUAGACUAGAAGAAAUAUGGUAAGCUGCGUGCCAUAUGUUGCCUUAGCAGUUCUAUAUGUCUACCCUCUGCAUCUCUCAUGGACUCCAGACGCAUUAAGGAUUCCAGAGUUAGAUGGAAUGACACGACUAUUCACCAACGAAAUUACUUCGGCUUCAGCAUGGAUUCAUUUGUUGACUGUAGACCUUCUUGCUGCAAGGCUGAGCAGGACAAUAGGAUUCAACUAAAGAAAGCUUUGCAGAACUAGAACAUUGCAACUCCUUUCUGAGGCUCACAUGAACUAGAAACAAGGAGAUGGAUUCUUUUAUAGAUGCAUGCACGAUUUGCUAAGAUACGUACUACACAAAUUGCAUGCAACGUCAACAUUCAUGCUUUAAAGUUGAAUUACAGAAGUUGUUAUGGCUUCCAUUAGGUCUUCUAAGCGCCCUUCAUAACUUCUUGUUGCAGCAGCGAGUUUCAUGGAGAGAAGCUGCACAGAGACAUUAAAAAAAAAUUUAUAGGGAAAGUUCAACAAUAUUUUGUUAUGAUAUUUAAUCUCAAAGAGUAUAGUUUUGAUUACCCCAACUUGAUUCUGCAAUGACUGCACAUAGUUAAUUAUUUCCUCCAGCCUUGCUGUAAUCUCCAUGGCCUAACCAAUCAGUUAUAAACAAAGUAAAGAAAAACAACUACUAAAUGAUCAAAUACUGUAAUUCCUGUUUUGUAAUGUA